rnacentral:rRNA from 1 species
UGAGGAAUAUUGGUCAAUGGGCGCAAGCCUGAACCAGCCAUCCCGCGUGCAGGAAGAAGGCGCUAUGCGUUGUAAACUGCUUUUCCAGGGGAAGAAAACUUCCAUCGUGAUGGGACUUGCCGGUACCCUGGGAAUAAGCAUCGGCUAACUCCGUGCCAGCAGCCGCGGUAAUACGGAGGAUGCGAGCGUUAUCCGGAUUUAUUGGGUUUAAAGGGUGCGUAGGCGGAUUAAUAAGUCAGUGGUGAAAACCUGCAGCUUAACUGUAGACUUGCCAUUGAUACUGUUAGUCUUGAGUACGGUCAAGGUAGGCGGAAUGUGUAAUGUAGCGGUGAAAUGCUUAGAUAUUACACAGAACACCGAUUGCGAAGGCAGCUUACUGGGCCAUUACUGACGCUGAUGC